rnacentral:rRNA from 1 species
GACGAACGCUGGCGGCGUGCCUAAUACAUGCAAGUCGAGCGGACCAAAGGGAGCUUGCUCCUGGAGGUUAGCGGCGAACGGGUGAGUAACACGUGGGCAACCUGCCUGUAAGACUGGGAUAACAUCGAGAAAUCGGUGCUAAUACCGGAUAAUAAAAGAACUGCAUGGUUCUUUUUGAAAGAUGGUUUCGGCUAUCACUUACAGAUGGGCCCGCGGCGCAUUAGCUAGUUGGUGAGGUAACGGCUCACCAAGGCGACGAUGCGUAGCCGACCUGAGAGGGUGAUCGGCCACACUGGGACUGAGACACGGCCCAGACUCCUACGGGAGGCAGCAGUAGGGAAUCUUCCGCAAUGGACGAAAGUCUGACGGAGCAACGCCGCGUGAGUGAUGAAGGUUUUCGGAUCGUAAAACUCUGUUGUUAGGGAAGAACAAGUGCCGUUCGAAAGGGCGGCACCUUGACGGUACCUAACGAGAAAGCCACGGCUAACUACGUGCCAGCAGCCGCGGUAAAGUC